GACGAACGCUGGCGGCGUGCCUAAUACAUGCAAGUAGAACGCUGAAGGAGGAGCUUGCUUCUCUGGAUGAGUUGCGAACGGGUGAGUAACGCGUAGGUAACCUGCCUGGUAGCGGGGGAUAACUAUUGGAAACGAUAGCUAAUACCGCAUAAGAGUAGAUGUUGCAUGACAUUUGCUUAAAAGGUGCAAUUGCAUCACUACCAGAUGGACCUGCGUUGUAUUAGCUAGUUGGUGAGGUAACGGCUCACCAAGGCGACGAUACAUAGCCGACCUGAGAGGGUGAUCGGCCACACUGGGACUGAGACACGGCCCAGACUCCUACGGGAGGCAGCAGUAGGGAAUCUUCGGCAAUGGACGGAAGUCUGACCGAGCAACGCCGCGUGAGUGAAGAAGGUUUUCGGAUCGUAAAGCUCUGUUGUAAGAGAAGAACGGGUGUGAGAGUGGAAAGUUCACACUGUGACGGUAUCUUACCAGAAAGGGACGGCUAACUACGUG
rnacentral:rRNA from 1 species